ensembl:lncRNA
AAUUUGAUUUUUUAUUUUCAUGUAACUUUUUAUAAUUAAUAAAUACAAAUAUUUCAAUAGUUUUUUGCCAGUCUUGGAUAAAAUAUUCCUUUCAGCAUGAAUAGUAUACAAAAUACAACCCAGAUUUUUUUCUUUCUCAAAAAAUGUAUUAUUAAUUAUUAUUAUUAUUAUUUUUAUUUUUAUUAUUAUUGUGGCAUUUCAUGUAAUACAUUUUUAACUGUUUUAAAAAAUAUUACAAUUAUUAUUUAAUUAAACUAAUUAAACAGAGAAAAUGUAUUACAUAAAAAAAAUAAUAAAAACUUGAUUUACAUUACAAGCUGUCAUAUUUUUAUCUUACUUUUUGGCCAGGUAAAUAUGAGUAACUGCACCAAACUGGAACCAAAUUUUAAUUACGAAUUAAUUAAACGUUUUAUAAAAAUAAAACUAUUUGUUAGCAUCUGUUUGGCAACAUUAGAACUAUUGUUAUCAAUUAAAUAAAACAUCCAUUUAAUGCUGUGAGUCAAGACUCAAGUUUAAGCUCAGAUAUAUAAGUUGUACAGUCUGACUUGACGUUUAUUGCACAAUCUGACAGGAAAAAGUUGUACCGCGUGCACUCGGCUUACAAUGGUAUGGUAUAGCCAUAAUCUGAACACUUAAUAAGCUCAAACUCUUGCUGUUUUCCAGGGGUUCCUUUUUAUUAUUUUAAUCAUGCGUCACAGAAAAUUCAGGUAUUUUAUAAAUGACGUGUUUGGUGCGAGAAAUGUCCUGUUUGCUGAAGAGAAUCCGUAUGCGUGCAUGCAGUAAAUGACGACCCGUCACCAACGCACAUAACAUGAACACUUGACAUUAUCCUCUGCUGUAUCACGCCGUGGAAUGCAUCACUUCCUCCCGAUGAUGGCCAAUGAAGGUUUACACUCUAGAGCUGCAUGCAUGAGUGAGAGAAAUCACAUCACCACGAAUGACAGAUCAAACAAUUGUUGUACAUUUGAAAUUGAUUUUUAUAGACACAUGGCAGAAUUCAGGUAAACGGCGUCACGCACCUGGAUUGGAAUAUUUGUAAUAGUGAAAUGAUCAAAAGUGAGGUGAAAACAAACCUGAUGACACCGAUCCGGCAGAGCUCAUGUAAAAACUAAUAACCAAUGAUCCGUUUUGAAUAGCCGAUAUAACUGUACAAUAACCAAGCUAUAGAUCUAUAGAGUAAAUGACUCGAUAAGACAAACAAAUAAACUGUCUAAAUGACCGUCAUGGGCUGCGAUUUCUGUUGUAGAAAUGAACAAUUGGUGUGUUUUCUGCGUCCUCUGAUCUCUUCUGUGUAUGUUUCUUGUAGAAUGACUUGUAAAAUGAACACAAUAUUAUAAAUUGUUUUACAGCUGUGUAUUAAAAGAAAACGAAUAAAAAAAAAAAAAUUGAAAAGCAUUUUAAAAACUUUCUGAUGGCCAAGGUCAUAAUUGCACUGUAGUUGGAACACUGGUAACUUGACUUCUGAUCCAGUAUAUGAUAAGAUUUCUUUUUUUUUUUUCUCUGACUGUUAGUUUUAUUACUGUUGUUGUUAUUAUUUUAAUAUUAAGCUCUGUUGUUGCUGUCUUUUUUUUCUACAGCUGUGUGAAUGCUGGAGUGUACAGUAUGUUUAUCUUCUUGAUUCAUGCUUUCUGUACAGUGCAAUCAAACAAAACCUCAAAAACUGGGUCAUAAGUAAUUAUAAUAUUAAAAAAUAUUUUUAAAUGAUAAUUAAGCACAUUUUCCCCAAGAAUUUUCAUUACUGUAAUGCAAAAAAUAAUUAAAAUCAUUAAAAGGUUUUGUUGUGGUAAUCAACAUUAAACUGUUUUUUUUUUUUUUUAUGGCAAAUGACAAUUUUGAUGUCUCUCUUUUUUUUUCUUCAGUUUGAAGAUGAAAUUUGGCCUGGACAUGUUAUGUUUCUGGUUGAAUAAAACAUAAUUUAAAUUAUACUAGCAGUCAUAUUUCCAGCAUAUAUCAAUCCGAUCAUAUCUGAUCAAAUGUCUGCUCCUCAGCAACUGUGUGCCGGUUCAUUUACAGUAGAUUCACUUUUCAGUGUUGCUUCUUUGUUUUUGUUUUUCAGUGCAGCACUGAACUGUUGUCGUUUUUCAUAAUAAUUAUGAAACACAUUUUUGUACUUUUAUUUCCUGUAUGUUUCAUGACACUGACAGCAAAUAAACUUGAAAAACCUUGUUCCAUCCAAAA